rnacentral:tRNA from 1 species
GCCGGGGUGGCGGAACUGGGAGACGCGGCAGACUUAAAAUCUGCUGGGCCUGACGGUCCGUGGGGGUUCGAGUCCCCCUCCCGGCACCA